ACUCCUACGGGAGGCAGCAGUAGGGAAUAUUGGACAAUGGGCGCAAGCCUGAUCCAGCAAUGCCGCGUGAGUGAUGAAGGCCUUAGGGUUGUAAAGCUCUUUUACCCGGGAGGAUAGUGACAGUACCGGGAGAAUAAGCCCCGGCUAACUCCGUGCCAGCAGCCGCGGUAAU
rnacentral:rRNA from 1 species